AUGCUUGCUUCAGUAGCAUAUAUACUAAUAUUGGAAUGAUACAGAGGAUUAGCAUGGCCCCUAAGCAAGGAUGAUAUGCAAAGGACUCUGGGAGCGGAGACUAAAUAAAU